UUAAUAUGUGUGCGAGUUAAUGGGCUAGUGUACGAAAAAGGAAGCUACCUGGCUGGAUCCCUUAGCAUGAGCAAUGUCUACUGACCUUGAUUUUCUGAGAAGGUUCGAGUGAGAGCAUACCUGCCGCUAAAGAUGGUGAACUACAUAGGAAAAUUUAGUGAAGACCCGAAGCAAUAUUACGUGCAAAUCUUUCGUCUGACUUCGGUAUAGGGGCGAAAGACUAAUCGAGUCGCUCACUAGCUAG
rfam:Beta vulgaris subsp. vulgaris Bvchr5.sca024.con0101.1, whole genome shotgun sequence.